rnacentral:rRNA from 1 species
UACGUAGGGUGCGAGCGUUGUCCGGAAUUAUUGGGCGUAAAGAGCUCGUAGGCGGUCUGUCGCGUCGGUCGUGAAAACUUGGGGCUUAACCCUGAGCUUGCGGUCGAUACGGGCAUGACUGGAGUUCGGCAGGGGAGACUGGAAUUCCUGGUGUAGCGGUGAGAUGCGCAGAUAUCAGGAGGAACACCGGUGGCGAAGGCGGGUCUCUGGGCCGAUACUGACGCUGAGACGCGAAAGCGUGGGGAGCGAACAGG